rnacentral:rRNA from 1 species
UACGAAGGGGGCUAGCGUUGCUCGGAAUUACUGGGCGUAAAGCGCGUGUAGGCGGUUGUCCAAGUCGGGUGUGAAAGCCUUGAGCUCAACUCAAGAAAUGCACUCGAUACUGGGCGACUCGAGUGCCGGAGAGGAUAGUGGAAUUCCCAGUGUAGUGGUGAAAUACGUAGAGAUUGGGAAGAACACCAGUGGCGAAGGCGGCUAUCUGGACGGUUACUGACGCUAAGACGCGAAAGCGUGGGGAGCAAACAGG